UGAGGAAUAUUGCGCAAUGGGCGAAAGCCUGACGCAGCGACGCCGCGUGGAGGACGAAGGUCUUCGGAUCGUAAACUCCUGUCGAGCGGGACGAAGUCGGGACGGUGAACAGCCGUUUCGGUUGACGGUACCGCUAAAGGAAGCCCCGGCUAACUCCGUG
rnacentral:rRNA from 1 species